rnacentral:rRNA from 1 species
UACAGGGGGGUGCAAACGUUGCUCGGAAUCAUUGGGCGUAAAGCGCACGUAGGCGGUUCGUUAUGUCGGAUGUGAAAGCCCUUGGCUUAACCGAGGAAGUGCAUCCGAAACUGGCGAGCUAGAGUACGAAAGAGGAUCGCGGAAUUCCCGGUGUAGAGGUGAAAUUCGUAGAUAUCGGGAGGAACACCGGGUGGCGAAGGCGGCGAUCUGGGUCGAUACUGACGCUGAGGUGCGAAAGCGUGGGGAGCAACAGG